rnacentral:rRNA from 1 species
CCAGACUCCUACGGGAGGCAGCAGUGGGGGAUAUUGCACAAUGGGGGGAACCCUGAUGCAGCGACGCCGCGUGGGUGAAGGAGUAUUUCGGUAUGUAAAGCCCUAUCGGCAGGGAAGAAGCAAGACGGUACCUGACUAAGAAGCCCCGGCUAACUACGUGCCAGCAGCCGCGGGAAUACGUAGGGGGCGAGCGUUAUCCGGAUUCACUGGGUGUAAAGGGAGCGCAGGCGGCACGGCAAGCCUGAUGUGAAAGCCCGCGGCCCAACCGCGGGACUGCAUUGGGAACUACCGGGCUGAAGUGCCGGAGAGGUAGGCGGAAUUCCUAGUGUAGCGGUGAAAUGCGUAGAUAUUAGGAGGAACACCAGUGGCGAAGGCGGCCUACUGGACGGUGACUGACGCUGAGGCUCGAAAGCGUGGGGAGCAAACAGGAUUAGAUACCCUUGUA